AGAGAGAGACAUGCGCGCAUAUCAAUAAGCGGAGGAAAAGAAACUAGCAAGGAUUCCCCUAGUAACGGCGAGUGAAGCGGGAAGAGCUCAAAUUUGAAAUCUUAAAGGGUUUCCCUUUACGAAUUGUAGUUUAAAGAAGUGUUUUCUGUUGAGGUUUUGGUAAAAGUUCUUUGGAAUAGGACAUCAUAGAGGGUGAGAAUCCCGUAUUCGACCUUUACUUUCAACUUUGUGAUACACUUUCAAAGAGUCGGAUUGUUUGGGAAUGCAGUCCAAAAUGGGUGGUAAAUUUCAUCUAAAGCUAAAUAUUGGCGAGAGACCGAUAGCGAACAAGUACCGUGAGGGAAAGAUGAAAAGAACUUUGAAAAGAGAGUUAAACAGUACGUGAAAUUGUCAAAAGGGAAGCGUUUGACACCAGUGUUGUUUUUCUGAAAAUCAAUUAAAGAACUGUUUAUGCUAAGCUGUUUAGACUUUAUCAGCUAUCUGUUUAGUUUUGAGCUUUUCUUUAAUGCACUUUUCAGUUAACAAGUCAACAUCAAUUUCUUUUGCUGUAAAAAAGCUUGAGGAAGGUGGCUUGAGAUUCGUCUUAAGUGUUUAUAGCCUCUUGCCUAUGCAGUCGGAGAGAUUGAGGUCUGCAGCGUAGAUCCUUCGGGGCUAAAUGCAUUUGUGCUAAGUUAUAGCAUUUUAUAGACAACUUGUUGACUAUGAUUUGUCUUGUAGCUUACUCGCUUAUGUUAUUUUACCUACGCUUAGGAUGUUGACGCAUGAGAUAUACGC
rnacentral:rRNA from 1 species